GGCUGUGUAGUGUAGCGGUCAGCACUUCGGAUUCUGACGUCAUACAGCAAGUUCCGGCGACCCCGGUUCGAUUCCGGGCACGACCU